rnacentral:rRNA from 1 species
GGGGAAUAUUGCACAAUGGGGGAAACCCUGAUGCAGCGACGCCGCGUGGAGGAAGAAGGUCUUCGGAUUGUAAACUCCUGUUGUUGAGGAAGAUAAUGACGGUACUCAACAAGGAAGUGACGGCUAACUACGUGCCAGCAGCCGCGGUAAAACGUAGGUCACAAGCGUUGUCCGGAAUUACUGGGUGUAAAGGGAGCGCAGGCGGGAAGACAAGUUGGAAGUGAAAUCCAUGGGCUCAACCCAUGAACUGCCUUCAAAACUGUUUUUCUUGAGUAGUGCAGAGGUAGGCGGAAUUCCCGGUGUAGCGGUGGAAUGCGUAGAUAUCGGGAGGAACACCAGUGGCGAAGGCGGCCUACUGGGCACCAACUGACGCUGAGGCUCGAAAGUGUGGGUAGCAAACAGGAUUAGAUACCCUGGUAGUCCACACCGUAAACGAUGAUUACUAGGUGUUGGAGGAU